GGUUAUGGCUCAGCGGUAGAGCGCUUGCUUUGCAUGUGCAAGGCCCUGGGUUCGAUCCUCAGCACCA
rnacentral:tRNA from 1 species